rnacentral:rRNA from 1 species
AGGGGUGAAAGGCCAAUCAAACUCAGAGAUAGCUGGUUUUCUGCGAAAUCUAUUUAAGUAGAGCGUUUAAAAACUCUUUUUGAGGUAGAGGACUAAUUGAUUGAUGGGGACGUUAAGUCUUACUGACCUCAGGUAAACUCCGAAUGCAAAAAAGUAAAGAUUUUUAAGCAGACAGACGGUGAGUGCUAAGAUUCAUCUGUCAAGAGGGAAACAGCCCAGAUUGUUCGUUAAGGUCCAUAAAUGUAGUUAAGUGAUAAAGGAAGUGAAAAAGUUAAAACAACCAAAAUGUAGGCUUGGAAGCAGCCAUCAUCUAAGGAAAGCGUAAUAGCUCAUUGGUCUAGCUUUUUUGCACCAAUAAUGUUUUGGGCUAAAACUACUUACCGAAACGGCAGACUUUUAAAUAUAUUAGAAGUGGUAGCAGAACUAUUUGUAUGUUAAUGAAGCAAAUUAUUGAUAAUUUGUGGAGAUAUCAAAAGUGAGAAUGUUGACAUAAGUAACGAAAAACAAUGUAAAAAUUAUAUUUAUUUAAUAAUAAAACAUUGUCGCCGUAAGUCCAAGGUUUUUGAGGGAAGGCUAAUCCUCCUUAAAGAAUGAAAAAUUCAAAAAAAAACGGUCCCUAAGAUAAUAGCGAGAGCUUUAGUUGAUGGGUUAAUUUAAUUUAUAAUUGCUUAUGACAAAUUUUGUAAAUAAUACGCUAUUUUUUAAAAUCAAAAAGCGGUUGUUGAAAAAUUUCAAGAAAAAGUAGCAGUUUUAAACCGUACUGUAAACCGACACAGGUGGACGAGUAAAGUAUACUCAGGCGUUUGAGAAAACCAUGUUAAAGGAACUCGGCAAAUUGACUCCGUAACUUCGGGAGAAGGA